UACGUAGGGUGCGAGCGUUGUCCGGAAUUACUGGGCGUAAAGAGCUCGUAGGUGGUUUGUCGCGUUGUUCGUGAAAACCGGGGGCUUAACCCUCGGCGUGCGGGCGAUACGGGCAGACUGGAGUACUGCAGGGGAGACUGGAAUUCCUGGUGUAGCGGUGGAAUGCGCAGAUAUCAGGAGGAACACCGGUGGCGAAGGCGGGUCUCUGGGCAGUAACUGACGCUGAGGAGCGAAAGCGUGGGGGAGCGAACAGG
rnacentral:rRNA from 1 species